GCGGGGAGGGGCGCCGGGCUUUGGUCUGUGACAAGCACCCGCCUCUUUCCCCUCCCUCUGGGUCCUCUCGCACAGGGGGACGACCCCACCCCCUGAGUCCCCUGGCCAGGCCUGGCUUCAGCCGGGGCUCUUAGUGUUACUGCUGCGAGGACCUGCCCUCUCCCGGCAGCCCCACCUGCCUGGCUCGGGACCAUCUCUUCCCUUCGCUGGAGCGGACCGGGCCUUCUGGACCCUGCCCAGGGCCUUCCCUUUGCUGGGUCUGACCGAAUCCGGCCUUCCUGACUGGUCACUUUCCCCGAAUAACUCACUCUUUUUCCUGCUUUGUUGGCGCCCGUGGGCUGUACAUAUGUUAUACAGAUGUGGUGGAUGGCUUUUGAUAUUACUACCCAGUGUGCUCAGCAUGUGCCAAACUCGGUUAUCACUUCUAGGUAAAGCCUAAAUAGAGUAACCAUUGGGGCUUUUAGUAAACCUUCAGUAACACACGUUCUUCUACGCUUUAAAUCACACACAUUCUGCCAGGACUAUGCUUAGUUUUGGGGUCCUAUUGAGUGGGUCCUCAAGUGAAUUUUUCACUCCCUUCUUUCCUCUAGGAACUGAUCACCAGCUCUCAACCCUGCUGGGCUCCAUAAAAUGACUGCCUUGUUCCUAAAUUCAAUCCAUUCCUCUGUGUGGUUGGAACCAUCUGGAAACUUUCCUUGUGUCGGCAAAAUAUGCCUGGGUCUGGGGAUAUUUUCUGUUUCUCUACUGGCAAGGCUUUCUCCAACUCUUGGGGACAGUGUUCAGUGACACACAUCCUAUCCUGUGAACAGACAGCUUGUGAAGCUGGUUCCACCCAGUAAGCUCAGAUAAGUGCCUGGAGGUGUUCUUUUUGUCACCUCUAAACUGAGUUGAUCCUAUUGCCUUGAAGACUUGAACUUUCUCCUUAAGUCAGCUAGCCUAGUUGUUGGGCAGGUGGAUAGGUAAGCCAGAGUUAGGGGGCAUUGUGGAUUUCCACCCUCAACUCUAGUUUUUUUUCUUCUCUUAUUUUGGAUACUAUUGUCAUACACAGAUAGGAUAUGAAAUAUGAUGACAAGAACAUAUUUAUUGUCACUCAGCCUAAGAAAUAGAACAUUAUCUCUUAUGUGGAAGCCUACAGGGUGCCCCUUUCUUAGCCCACAUCCUGUCUUCCCCCAACAAAGGUAAACACUCUCUUGAAUUGUGUUUGUCAUUUUCCUUGUUGUCUUGUCUUUUUGAUUGUAGUUUUGCUACAUAUUUGCAUCUCUAAGACAAUAUCAUCUUAGUAUAUGUGCUGCUGAAUCAAGUGCUAAACAAUACAUUUUUUAAUUAUGAAUACUUUAAAGUUUGUUUUUUUGUGAGACUCAUCAAUGUUGUAUCAUGGCUCUGGUUUUUAAAUACUAUCCAUUCGUGAAAGUAUUAUAUUGUAUGAAAGAAUGCAUUGAAUUCUCUUCUUGGUGAACAUUUAGGUUGAUGCCUAUUUCUUAACAUAAGUAGUAACGCUUAAAUAUUUUUUCCAGGACUCCUAAUAUUCUUUGCAGCUUUAUGUUGUAUUUAUGUAAGGGCCGAAUUGCUGUUCACAGGGUGUAGAUCUGGAGCUUCACUAGAUAAUGCUGGACUUUUUACCCACUUACCCCUCCACUCUUAAUGCUCUUUGUGUUCAGCUUUCACUGCACAAAUAAACACUUUCUUUUUUCAUUGUCUUUUUUUUUUUUUCCAAGCAAAUUAGGAGGUAUGGUAGUCUAGUUUGUUUUGGCCAGUGCCCUAGCACAACACCAAACUCAAGUGAGAGCUUUGUGCAAUGCUGUUCCUCUUGGUCCUGCACAUGCCUCUUUUUCUCUUUUUAUAUUGGCUUAGCUGUUGCUGAAGUAGACUGAUCCACUGAUUCCAGACAUAAAAGCUCUGUGCCCCUUCCUGCAUGAGUUCAUUGUUAGUAAAACAUGCUGGCCCAUUCUUUCUUCACGAGUCUAUUGCUGAUUGGGACGUUUGGGUAGCUACCUUCUCUAGCUUGGAUUGAAAAGGCGUGAGCUGACUGGCAGGAAGACUACCACAGAGAGGAAUGAAGUAAAAUCACUGAUUGCUGUUGAUUUUUGAUCUGAUCCUGUAUCUCUUGAUUAUCGAAAAGUCUUGUGUAAUAAAUGAUUAGCCUAAGAAGCAGCCAGCAUCCUGAUAAAAUGGUAAUUAUUAUGCUAACUUGGUGUGAGAGGCAUAAGCCAGCUUGGUUUCCUGUUCAGGGUACAUGAAGUUGUGUUGUGUUUACUAGUCAGUUCUUGCUUGGCUGUCUUCCGACUUUGUUUUCCAGCCUUUACCCUUGUGCCUCCCAGCUCCUUGAGAAACACUUGUGCUUCUUGGAGCAGGCUGCUGUAUCUUCAGGAUGGAAAACAACACCCUGUGGGGAGAAAAUGACCUGCUAUUGGCUCUUCCAAGUAUUGAGUCAGCCAGUAAAUUUGAGGUCUCCUGGGUGUACUUGUUCAUGUUGUUUUGAAUAUAUUAACAACAUGUAGUUCUGGAUAGCAUGUAAGAUAUACUUUUCUUGUUUUGUGUAAUUCCAGUGAGACACAGGUGUAAAAGCUGUAGCACAUAAGUAAGCCUGAUGGUGAAUCUGAAGUUAGGUGCACAUGAGAACAGAAGAGUCUGUCUUUAUCUACUGCAGAGAAGUGGGGGUUGAGCAAGCAGUCAAGCAUUAGGAAGGUCAUGCUUCCUUUCUUGAUGCCUGUGGAAAUAUAAUUUGCUUUUGAUAAAAAUACCAUUUCCUUUAUUAGCUAUUUAAGAUUAACAUUUCAUUUAUAUCUCAGGUAUGUCUGCUUUUCUUUAACAUCUAAAUUCGCUCAGAAUCCAUAGUAUUUUUAAGCUGUUUUGUAGACUAGCAUACUCACCCUUGGCUUUAAAAAGACUUAAUUGUUCAGUUCAUUGCAUUGUCAUUUUUACUCCCUAACCUCUCUGUACUGGGGUUGGAAUCCAGGGUUUUCAUAUAGAGUUUUAUUCCUAGCUCUUUAAAAAAUUUUAUUUAUUUAUUUUUUAAUUUUGAGGAAAACAAAGUCUUCUAAGCAGCCCAGGCUGGAUUUAACUUGUGAUUCUCUUGCCUCAUCCUUCCAGAGUGCUGAGAUUACAGAUGUGAAUUACCAUGCCCAGUUUGUAACAACAUUUUUUUUAUUAGCAUUUUUUAAACAAGGAAGUUAUUACAUGUCUGUGGUUAAAAAUUCAAACAUUAUAGAGAGAUGAAAAGUAUAAAAGUCUCAUCCAUGUUGUCAUUCAUUCUAGGUGAUCACUGUGAAAUAUAGUUGCUUUUUAAUACUUCAUUACAUGAAGGCAGUUCUGCUAUUUCUGCUUUAUGAAAUUUAUAGCUUUAGACAGACCUGGUGUGGUAAGAACAGUGGUGUGCUGGUGUGGAGACCAGAUAGCAUGUUGUUUGAAGGGUUUCAGUGUCAUUCUUUUUUUUUGUCUUUUUCGUUUUUAUCAGUACCAGGGAUCGAACUCACGACUGCCUGCUUCCAAGGCAGGUGCUUAUGCCGCUGAGCUAAAUCCCCAGCCCCCCAGAGUGCCAUUCUUGAUCCCUUUUGUUGAUAAUAUUUGAUGAGAUUUGCCAUAAUAUUCUUUUCUCUCUUUGAAUUGCUUUAGAUAGGAAAGGCAGAAAAAUUAUUAAAUCUUGCAAGUACACAAUUUCUGCCAGGUGUGGUAGUACAUGCCUGUAAUCCCUGUAUUUGGGAGACUGAGCUAGGAGGAUCACUGUGAGUUGAGGCCAGCCUGAACUGCAUAGCAAAACCCUGUCUCAAAAAAAAUUUCCCCAGUGGCAUAAAAGUGAUUAUUAGGAGGCUCCUGUAUCAUUAACAAGUCACAUUGCAUUUGUCUUUCUGUACAAGGCACAUUUCCAUAUCCUUGUCUUUAUGUACUGGGGAAGGAGUUUAGUGUCAGUUCCAUUUCUCCUUAGACCACUUUUUUUAAGUGGGUACUAAAGUCAACCUGUAUUGGAUAAAAAUGUUAGUGCUAAAAGGGAGGUGGCCACAGCUGAGCUGCUAUGACCGGACUGCAGCAAGAGUAUCACUUACAUGAAAGCACUUGGGAACAGUUUUCCCUCUGAGCACUAGGCAAGCUGGGAGCUAUUUUUCUGUGCUUUUUACUGUAUAGUAAGACAGACAGUCCCAUGCCUUAGUUUUUUCAGUAUUGAUUGGGAAUACUAUACUUACCAUCUGUUCUAAGAUACAGAUCAAAUGAAUAUAAAAUAGGACUUAUAGAGCCACAGGAAUGAGUACCUUUUAAAUGGUAGAUAUAAAAUAAAUAUAAUUGAUCAAAUAAGAGAGAACUGGUGAAAUGUCUGUUAUUUCUCAGCGGUUUGUGUGUGUGUGUGUGUGUAUGUGUGUGUGUUUCGUUUUUAUGGGUACCAGGGAUCGAACGCACGACUGCCUGCUUACAAGGCAGGCGCUUAUGCCGCUGAGCUAAAUCCCCAGCCCCUAAAUGUCUGUUAUUUCUCUACCAUUAAAAGUUUUAAAAGUAUGUUUAUGCCCUAGGAGAUUUGAGUUUCACGUUGUAAGUGUUGUAAUAGAAUAUCUUUCCUAUCAAGGUAAUAUUAUCCAUUGUCCCUGUGGAAGCUCAGAUUCCUCAAGUCAGAAAAAGAAUGACUUUCACGGAGUGUAUUUUACAUGUAUUGAUUUACAGAUCUAUGGGACACAUUAGUAGUUAUGUGAUUUCUUUUUAAACCAGUUUUCAAUUUCUUAGCCAAGCCACAGAGUUGCUGCUAUUAUUGUCAGUGCUUGCAGGAGGCUGAGCAAGUGAGAAUGUUUGAGCUGUGUCUUUUCACUCCCUGUCCUUACAAGCCUGUCCUGCUUAGGUCUGGACUUGAAGGUGUUGGUGUAAUCUCAGGCAGGCCCACUGGGUCCUAUGCCAGGCUGCAUCUGCAUAUACAUAUUCUGGAAGUACUUUGGGAAACUAGGGUAGCUGUGGGGUGAUUUGCAAGUGUCAGUCUUUUCCCAGUUGAGAAAAGACAAUUUAAACUCUUUUAGAGGACGCCUCUGAGCAUGGUGGUUGACUUCCAAAUUGACAAGCACUUGACAGAAUCCUUCCUUCUCCAGGCCUUCACCCGAGAGUAGACAGCACAGUGUGAAGGUUAUAGAGAAUUCUCAUGUGUGUGCACCAGUGCCUCCUCUCUUCUAGAUGCUCAUAGGGCAUUUGCUGGCAGAUUGACUAGAACAUCAGAGAAUGACAUAGUCCCAGGGAAUCCCCAAUGGGCCAACCUGUAAUGGCCCCUUUACCUUGGAAGAUAAAUAAAUGAGGAUGCAUUGUAGCUUAUCUUAUAUAACUUCUGGAAAAUAGUUCCCUAAGACAUUCCAUUGGGCAUUCAAUUAUACCUUAAGACUCUGAGCUGCUUUUUAAAAAGAUGUGCUGUCUAGUACAAUAGCCAGUUGUUAAUUUCAGUCCAGCUGCUCACACUCACUUUCUAGCUGGGCUCUGUAGGGUGUGCAUGUAAUCUUAAAUAGGUGCGAGGUUGAGUGUGAUUUCUAGUGAUCCAAUACAGAUUCAAGAUAUAUAUUUCAUUUAAUUAAGUAGAAGACUUUUGUCCUCUUCCAAAUUAUUUUAAAAUGUCCCUUUUCUUUCCCAUAAGUUUUCAUUUUGUUAAUUUUUUUCCUUAGACAUUGUUAUCUUCUGUUUUACUGUACUUCAUGACUGUUUGCUUUGUGAUGCCUCCCUGCCAUUUAUAACCCCACAGUUUUAGGUCUUGUAUCCGAUGAAAACAGACUAGAUGCAUUGACUCCAAAAUGUUUUUAGAUGUGUGUGAUUUUAAUUUUUGUCAUUAUUAUUAUUUUGGUGAUUUCUAAAAUUUCUACAGUAAACACGUAUUAUGGGAAGGGUAGUAAGUAAACAUUCAAAAAAUAUAUUUCAUUUUUGUGAAUACUGCAUACUAAACACUACCAAAUCGAAUACUUUAGAGGGAUGAACUUUAUCAAUUUUAUUACAUUAAAGUUGUAAGAAAAUAUUUUAUUAUAUAUAUAUUUUAAAAGAUCAUAUAUUGAAUGAGCAUUAAGUGAGAAAAGAAAUAGAGUACUGAAAUUUCACCCCACUCAUUAUGUUCCUUUCUUGGUUCUGGAGUUGCUCUUCAUUUUUAUUGAUAGCAAAAGUGACAACUGGUAAUGACCAUUAUUACCUUCCUUGCAAUUAGAUAGAUGAGCCACAGGUGAUAUAUUAUUGUUGAUGUGACAGUCUGAUGUAUUUCAUCUUUGUGCAGAUAUUUUUAGAUUAAGUUUUAAAGAUGCACCAGAAGUUAGAAUAUUUGAGCUUAGCUCUGGCUUCAUCAGUUUUUCUGAACCUUGAACAUUGUACUUCUUUUUGUUUUUGUGGGAAAUGAGACUUAGGAGCUCGAAGGUAAGCCUCGGUUUUACUUGUCCUUUCAGAACUUUCAGUACUUUUAGUUCUGUAAACAUAGAACCACACCAGGUAACAACCACAAGUUAUUUUGGCCAAAAUAUUUUUUAUAUUAUGUGCAUUUCAGGAACUGUACUGUAGGUAAUUUACUCUGUGGUUUUUAGUGGGCCUGAUACAGAUUUGAAAGACAUGAAAGGGAUGACUUAAACAAAUUUAAAACUUGUUUUCUGCUAUGCUGUGUCUUCCUUUCUUUGUAGAUUGUACAGUGUCUCCAUGGCUGUCCCUCCUCAGAACCAUACUGUGAGCAGGACUUCCUGCUGGUGGCAUCUCUGGUGACAUCAGCAUAUUAACCAUACCUGAGAAGUUUCAGAUUGGAUAUUGUGCUUAUAUAUGGGACUGUGCUUUUUCCUUUGUAUUACUGUAUUUUCUUUCUUUUUUUUUUUUUUUUUUUUUUGGUCUUUUUCGUUUUUAUCGGUACCAGGGAUCGAACUCAUGACUGCCUGCUUGGAAGGCAGGCGCUUAUGCCGCUGAGCUAAAUCCCCAGCCCCCUUGUUUCUCUUUUUGAAGAUGAGACACUUUCAUUCUUUGCAGCAGUUUUUUUCUCAGAAUAGUUUAGAAGAUACAAAAGGCUUAGGAUAUCACUUGUCACCUAUUUGAUCCCUCCUUACUAACCUUUUGUUCAAAAACACCAAAUAGCUGCAUGGUCUAGGAAGCAGCUUUUCCUGCUCAUUUCUGUUUUAUGACACUGCACAAACACAUGGCAUUGUGCUAAUUCCUCUCAUCCUCUGUUACACCAGUCUCUCCCAGAAGCUAACUACUGGUAGUUGAGAGCAAUACUUUUUGGAUUGUUUUUGUUUUUGUGGCAUGCAAAAUUAAACCUAGAGUCUCACACAUACUCAAAUAAUAUACUAAAAGUGAAAAUUAGCCAGGCUUGGUAGUGCAUGCCUGUAAUCCCAGAACUUGAGAGACUGAGGCAGGAGGAUUGCUGAGAGUUUGAUGCCAGCCUGGGCUUUAUAUAGUAGGCUCAAAGCUACCCUGAACUACAUAGUGAGACCUUAUCUCAAAAAAAAAAAAAAAAAAAUUAGAUCCUGUCAUGCCCUCUCCACAGUCUUCCUUCCAUGUACUCAUUCAGCAAGACCAGCUGGUGUGUGCUGCAAACAGAAUCCUGUACAUUCAUGAGAGAAGGCAUUAUCAACCAGGCAGGAGGAUCACAAGUUCAAGUCUUAUCUGAAUAACAGUGAGACCCUCUUUCAAAAUUAAAAACAAGAAAAGUUGAAAAGGCCAUGAUUGUAGUUCAGUGGUAGAGCACUCCUGGCUUCAGUCUCUCAUACUACAAGAGAAAAAAGACUAUGAAAUAUUUUGUUGUACUUAGAAUAAAAUCCCUUGAUAUGGUGGAAGACAUACUUGGUUUCUGGCUGCUGCUUGUGACUCAGGCCUCAUCUGCUAUUCUGCCCAUUGCUCAUGUGGCUCUGGGUAAGGUAGCCUGGCAUGGUUACCCUGCCUCAGAGCUUCAUCCCCUGCUGUUCUGUUUACCUGAGAUGCCCAUCCCCAGAUCAUGCUGUGCCCGGCUCCUGGGUAUCAUUCAGAUUUCAGUUGCCCUUCACCUUAGAAGGCUGUGCUCACCUGUCUAGUCCAUGCUGGAGUUUAUUUUAUUUUAUUUAUUUUUGUCUUUUUGAGACGGUGUUUCACUAUGCAGUUCAGGCUAGCCUUGCACUCUUUUAUGUAGCCCGGGCCAGUCUCAAACUCACAGUGAUCCUCCUGUCUCAGCCCUUCCACCUCAACAUUUUAAGUGCUGGAAUUACAGACAUGUGCCACCACACCCAGCCUGUGCUGGAGUUAUAAAGCUUCUUUGCAAAUACUUAUUGUCUGAAAUAAUCUUCUUCAUUGAUUUAGUUACUAUAUAGAUGCACAAUAAAUACAUUUGCCAAAUUAAUUACACUAAUUUUCCCUCUUUUAUUUGUAAUGUUUAUUGAAUGAAUAUUACUCACAAUUCAUCCAUUCACUGAAUGUUUACUGAGUAUUUCUGUGUGCCAUACGCUGUUCUAAGUGUUGGAGAAGUGGCAACAAAAGGUUGACAGAAUUCAUGCUCUCUUAGAGUGUGUGUUUCAGUUCAAGGCGACACAUAUAAUGAACCAUCAGGUAAUCAGAUCUGUAAGAAAUGGUCAGAUAAUUGAAUUGUGUCACCAUGAAAUAGAACAAUAAUUGACAGACCUUGGGCUGGGGAUUUAGCUCAGCAGCAUAAGCACCUCCCUGGCAAGUGCAAGAUCCUGAGUUCGAUCCCGUCUCCCUUACCCCCAAAAUAAUAAUUGACAGAGCUUGGGGAAGGGCUCUCCUGGAUGGGGUGGCCAGGAAGACCUCUGGUGUGGUGCUGUCUGAACUGCUGGAGUGAAGUAAAUCUGAUAAAUUGAGCUCUUUCUGUGUGUCACAGUAAUGACUAGAGACAGACACUGGGAUUCUUUUUCUCAGCAGGAGAAAUUGAGUCCCUGUGAGGGGAAGGCAUAUUUGUAAGGUUACCCAGUUUAGAGGUAGGGUAGGUGGACUGGGCUUUGUCUCUUGACUAUGAUUGUCUGACAUCAGAGCUAUUUCUCAUUUAAACUUGGGUCCUUGAGCCCCAUCUCACUCUCAUAGUUGACAGAUAACUGUAGAUUGUCUUUUAUGUUGCUGGCUGAAGUUACAGAAUGCUGCUUCAUUAGCAAUACAGGCAGUAAGAGGCCAUGUAACAUAGUGGUUGGGAACAUGGAUUUUGCAAUCAGUGAAUCUGGAUUUGAAUUCUGAGUGACAUUGGGCAAGUUACUUAACUUCUCUAAUGCUUCAGUGUUCUCAUCUGUAAAAUGGGCAUAAAAUGCAAUUAAAUACAUGGUAAUUGCAUGUGUGGCACAUAGAAAUACUUAAUAGAUAGUAACUAGCAUUGUUGUUGUUGCUUUUUUGUCAAUCCAGUUCUGUAUCCUCUCCAAAAAGAACCAAAACAAACUUGCUUUCCUUCUGGAAUCAGGGUGAGAGUCUAAUUUCCUCAGUGGAGCCAUCACAAGGUUUUGGGUUUACCUGAGGUACAGGUCUUGCCAAAUCCCAGGCUUAUUAGACUAGAAAGCCAAAGCAGGGUUUUAGUCUGAAGCGGGCCUUGGGUCAGGAUCCUGUUUCGACAUUCUGCCCACUUAUAUGAACGGAAGAGAUGGUGUAGAUUCCGCCUGUAAACCGCAACUUUGUUUUGAGCCAGCUUGACUUGAUAGCUUCCUUAUUCUACCUGCUGACUUUUUUAGCUCUGGUUUGGCAGCCAGAAGAACAACUAAACCGGUUUAUAGCGCUUCAUUUACUGCCAGUGAAAGCUCAGCAAUUCCUGGGAAAGUGAGCAAUUUAAGAGGACUUGAUAUUUGUCUCUUAAGUUUUCCUUUUAAUGUUUCAAAAAUAUAUAUAUGUAUAUAUAUGUGAACCUUAUUCUUUUACAGGAGGGACUUUCAGGGCUGUCCUGAAAUAUUUGGGUCUAUGUAUGUAUGUUAAUUUCCCCUUUAAUAGGAGCAAGACUUUACUUUUGUAUUUUGUUUAGAAAUCUACAAGUAUAUUUGCUCGUUGCUGGUUCUUUCUUUCUUUCCUUCUUUCUUUCUUUUCUUAUGGUUAUUUAUUUUGGAAACAGGCUCACUAUGCAUUUCAGGCUAUCUUCAAACUCAUUAUGUAGUCCAGGCUGGCCUUAAACAUGCAGUGAUCUUCCUGUCUCAGCCUCCCGAGUACUGGGACUACAGAUAUGUACCACCACAGCCAGCCUGCUGCUUCUUUCUUGAGAAUAUAUAAAACAUAGACUAACCUUUUCUUGAGUCUGGAUCAUCAUUCGAACAUGAUCCUUCUGUAGACAUCAUUGUGUAAUGAAUGUUAACUAUUACAAAAUUUGUGUAUCUGCUUUUUUUUUUAAGUUUUGUUUUUAUUUUUCCUUAUGCUGUCAGUGUGCCCUCUUUGCCCUUUGUUGCUUCUAAAAACCAUAGGCUGAAGAAUCAAAUAAUUGGAAAUGUUAGGAACGAGAGCUGAAGUUGAGUGGGAGGGCACUUAUUUAGUGUGUGCACACAAGUGCCUGGGUUCACUUCUGAUCAGCUCCAGCUCCAUGUGAAUGGCCUCUGAAUACAAGGCAAAGGUAAUUGGUAUUAUUAACUCUGAGAAUAUGAGGGUAUGCAUGUUUUAUGGGUAAGUAAUAAUUUUGGCUACCUCCUGGUCUGGGUUUUGCUCCAGAGAAGUAGAAUAUUUUUUUAUGGUCAAUGUUUUUUUUUUUUUUUUGUCUUUUUGAGACAGGGUCUCUAUGCAGUUCAGGCUGGCCUUGAGCUCACUUUGUAGCCCAGACUGGUCUCGAACUUGCAACGAUCCUCCCACCUCAGCCUCCCGAGUGCUGGGAUUAUAGGCGUGAGCCACCAUGCCCGGCCUUAUGGUCAAUGUUUAUAGUCUUCUGAAAUCUUAUAACAUUAAAAAUCCUAAUGAAGCCAGGUAUAGUAGUGAUGUUGGCCUGUGAAUCCUAGCAGUCCGGGAGGCUGAGGCAGACUGAGGCAGGAGAAUUGCAAGUUCAGCCUGGACUACUUAGUGAUUUAAAGUCUUAUUUCAAAAUGUGUGUGAGAGCGAGGAUAUUGGGAAGGUAAAUUAGUGUGAAGGGCCUGGGUUCAGUCCCCAGUAUUGCAGAACGAGAGAUAGCAAAACCAAAAAGGUCAGCUUUUACAUUGGGAUUGGAGUGCUGUGGUAAAUAACGGACUAUAUGCUUGGUUAAAUUGGUCUUUUUGAUGGUUUUUUGGUAUUGGGAAUCGAACUCAGGACCUUACGCUUGCCAGGCAAGUGCUUAUGCCACUGAGCUAUAUCCCUGGCUUUUUUUCUUUUCUUUUCUUUUCUUUUUUUGUUUUUGGUACCGGGGAUCAAACUCAUGAUCUCACACUUACCAGACAAGCGCUUGACCUGCUGAGCUAAAUCCAUUGUCCCUAAAUUGGUUUUGAUUACCACUGAACAAGUUAUUUUUUCCCUAAUAUUUUAAAGUGAGGAUACUUCCCUCUUCUGCCCCCAUCACUGAUUUUUCCCCCCUUUUUUGUUUCAUGAAAAGAUAAAAUUGUGUAACAGAAUAAUGAGAAUAAUAAUUGCUAAUAUACUGUGCAUCGUUAUCUUCUAAGUAGUAAUUUAGAGUACAAAUAUAAAUGAGAAAUUCUUAAACAGGAUAACAAAUUUUUCUUUAAUUUUCUUUUCAGUGAACUAAGAUAAACUAUAAUUGAAACAAAUUAACAUUGAAAUAUUUUUAAAAUAUUGGAAUAUGUAAGUUAAAGAAGUAUAUGAACUUCUCCCCCCUUAUGUAUCUUUUAUUUUGCUCUUUACUAAUUAUAUAGUGUUUCUCAUGUAAGAGAAACCAUGAGAUAUUUGAACUUUUAGUCUGACUUAUUUCACUUAAUAUUUUGUUCUUAAACUGCAUCGAUUUACUUAUGUUUAUCUUUCUCUCUGGCAGUGUAGUGCUCUGUUGUAUAUAAAUACCACAUUUUUCUUUUCCAUUUAUCUUUUGAUGGAUAGAUACGCUAUUUCUAAGAUCUAGCUAUUAUAAACUGUGCUGCUGUAAACAUGGGUAUUCACAGAUCCCUGUAAUGGAUGAUUUUAACUGUUUUUGGGAAGAUACCUAGGAGGGGGAUAGCAGGGUCAAAUACAACUUCUGUUUUUAGUUUUUUGAGGAAUCUCCACACUGGUCCCUAUAGUGCUUUUACUAGUUUCCAUUCCCACCAACAAUGCCAUGAAGUUCCUUUCCCCCCAUUCUUGCCAGCAUUUGUUAUUGGAUUUUUUGAUGAUAGCCAUCAUUUUUGGGUAAGAGGGUAUCUCAGUGUAGCUUUAAUUUGAAUUUCUCUGACGGCCAGUGAUAAUCAGCAUUUUAUAUAUUUGUUGGCCAUUUGUACUUCUUUUUUUUUUUUUGUCUUUUUCGUUUUUAUCGGUACCAGGAAUCGAACUCACGACUGCCUGCUUGCAAGGCAGGUGCUUAUGCCACUGAGCUAAAUCCCCAGCCCCGCCAUUUGUACUUCUGAAAAGUGUCUCUUCAUUUUGAUUGCCCUUGUUUUGAUUGGGUCUUUUAUUUUGGAGAGGGCUCUGAUUUUUGUGUGUGUGUUUGUAUACUGUAUUUUUGAUGUUAGUCCUCUGUCCUUGCAAUAGCUGGCAAAAAAUUUUUUUUCCCAUUUAGUAGAUGUCUCUUCACUCUUCUGGUUGUUUCCUUUGCGCUGCAGCUUUUUAAUUGGGUAUGAUACUGUUUGUUGAUGCUUGGUAUUGCUGGGUAUGGUGACGCACGCCUGUAAUCCCAGCACUUGGGAGGCUGAGGCAAGAGGGUUAUUACAAGUUCGACACCAGCCUGGGUUACAAAGUGAGCUCAACACCAGCUUGAACUGUAUAGCAAGACCCUGUCUCAAACAAACAAUAACCUCCCACCAAAAAAAAGAUUGAUUCUUGGUAUUAUUUCUUGUGGCAUGGGACUGUUCAGAAAAUCCUUCCAUACGCCUGUGUCUGAAGAGUUUACCUAUUUUAUCUUCCAGCAGUUUGUUUCUGUUUUAACAUUUAGAUCUUUGACCCAUUUUGGUUUUAGUUUAGUAGCGGGUAAGAUGAAUGGAUCUAAACUCAGUCUUCUGAAUGUGGAUAUCUAAUUUUCUCAAUAUCAUUUAUUAAGAGGCUAUCUUUCAUCCCAGGUAUUUGUUUGGCUCUUCUGUGAAGGAUCAAAUAACCAUAUGUGCCUGAGGUGAUUUCCAUUUCUUCUGUCUCAUUGAUCCACAUAGCCUGUUUUUGUGCCAGUACCAUGCUGUUUUAAGAAUCACUGAUUUGUAAUGAAAAAAAUACAUAUGUAAAAUGUUUGGACAUUGAUACCCAGAGAAAUUAUUGCCUUCACAUCUUUCAGUAACAUCGGUGAAACUACGAAUAUGAAGUAACCCAGUUCAAUACCAUGGCACAUAAAAAGCCUGAUUUGAAAGUUUGGGAGGAGAUCAAAAGUGAAUCAUCAGACUACUCGUGCAUGGAUGAUGAAUAUGAUCCACUGUGAUAAAAUGCAUGCUUUUAUAGCAGAAGAGUGGUGUGGUGGAUGAUGAUGAUGAUGAUGAUGAUGAUGAUGAUGAUGAUGAUGACGAUGACGACAACUUUAAUGUUGGCCAUCUGAGGCAAAAGUCCUAUGACAGUGAAGUGGAGCAAGAAUCAACUGAAACAGGUACACGAAGUGCAGACCUCUUUUAUUCAGGUGGCGGAGAAAGCAGCAAUGUGACUAUAUAUUUGGUUAGUCAGUGUUGCAAAAUGGCCAUGCAGUGUGACCAAAUGCAAUAACCCAGUGUUAGAAGUAGAUUGGAAAAUAGAGAAGGUCUUGGCAGGGAUAAAGUAUUUUGGAAAGAUUGCCAGCACUGCCAUUCAGUGUUGGAAAUUGUUACAGAGGAAAUAUUCCAAGGUGCUAUGAAAUGCAUAAAGGCUGAAAUGCAAGUAAAACAUUUUGUAUGCACCAGUAGCUAUAUUUAAAAAUGCUUUUAUUAUGAUACCUCACUAGCUGAACUGAGAGCAUUCACAGAUCUGUUGUAAUUAGCACAGAUUUCUUACAGUCAUCACAGGAAUGUAAAAGACUUACAGACAAGCAAUGGGUCAAGGGCCGGGGAUUUAGCUCAGCAGCAUAAGUGCCUGCCUGGCAAGCAUGAGGGCGUCAGUUUGAUUCCUGGUAUCAAAAAAAAAAAAAAAAAAAAAAAAAAAACAAUGGGUCAAAAUAUGGCAUCAAAAUUUAUGCCUUUGUAGAUGUGAAGAGUUAUUAUGCUUUCAAUUUAGACAUUUAUCUUGGAACUCAGCCACCAGGUCCUUCUUCAUAUAGUAAUAAACUGAUAUUGUGAACAGACUUGUUCCUCGUAUCUCUCAAACUAUUUGGAAUGUGACAUUUGACAGUUGGCUUACUAGUUCCCAGUGGAUGUUACAUUUGCUGACAGAGCACAAGUUGACCAGCACAAGAACAAAGCAGAAAUUCCAAAUGAAAUGUUGCAAUUUCAAAACAGAAUCAUAUUUUGGAACUGGGGAUUUAGCUCAGUGGCAUAAGCGCCUGCCUGGCAAGCGUGAGGUCAUGAGUUCGAUCCCUGGUACCACCAAAAAAACAGAAUCACAUUCGAAUUUCAGAAAGAUGUAACAUUGGCCUCACAUAUGACAAAGAAAAGCAAACUGGAACUGAUAAUGUCAACAUAUCACCAUGACGGGAAUAUUCAUAAGGAAACUUUGACAAAACAGAAGGCUGAGAUGGAAACUUUCAACAACAAAACCAAAUGUGGAGUAGAUGUUGAUAAGUUAUGCAACAACUAUGAUGUUACUUGAAACACAAAGCAUUAGCCAAUGGUUGUGUUUUUCUCAGUCCUAAACAUGUGUGACAUAAAUAAUUUGAUAGUUUACAAAGAAAAUAACACAUGCAAAAUGCCAUGUAGAAAUUUCUUAGAGGAUUGGGCCUGGAGCUCAUAAGAGAUCAUUUACAGCAGUUGAGAAACAAAAUGUUUCUGCCCAGAGAACUACACAAAAAAAUUGUGGAGCACACUGGUGAGCUGACAGGUGAACAAGCAGACACAGCAUCUCCAUCUACUACAACAGCAGGAAAGCAAUAAAGAUCCCAGCUGUGCCCUAUAAGUACUGGGAAACAUAACACAUACCGGUGUGAUACUUCUGUACAGAACUUACAUUUGUCGUGUUGAAGACUUACUUUGGGUGUGACAGUUGAAACAAAGCUUAUUUCUGUGGUAGACUUUAGUUUGUGUUUACACUGUAGCUCACUGUAGUUUUUAUUUUUGAUGUUAUCUUCUAGGUUUUGUAAGCAGGUAACAGCUAAUGUGAAAAUGUUGAUGUCUAUUCAAAGUGCUCAUUACAUAUUUAAUAAUUGUAUUGUAUUGAAAUCUUAUUUCCCUACUAAGUGCUUGUUGUACAGUAUAGUAGGAAGCUCCUAAUGAAACAGGAAGAGAGGUGACAAGACCGCCACAUAGGAAAGGAAAGCUCAGCACACGUGCUGGCCGUGUAAGCAAGACAUGUGCAUGGAACAUGCAGUUGUUAUGUGUGAAGACUGCCUGUGGUGUGACAGUUGAAGCAAAGCUUGUUUUUAUAGUAGAGUUCUAUUGCUGUUUUCAUUGUAGUUCAUAUAGGAAUUUAUUUCUGAUGUUAUCUUUUAGGUUUUGUAAGGAUGUACACAGCUGAUAUGAAAUGUUGAUGUCUAUUCUAAAAGCACAAUACAGGAGCCGAGAGUAUAACUCAGCAGCUUAAGCACCUGCUUGGCAAACACAGGGUGUUGAGUUCAAUUCCUGGUACCAAAAAAUAAAUAAAUAGGGCCGGGGAUUAGCACAAGGUUGUAAGUUUGUCCCCGGUACAAAUAAAUAAAUAAUAGCACAAUACAUAGUAAGAAUUUAAUUAUUUAUUAAUAUUUUAUAUUCCUGUUAGCUUCAAGUUGUAUAAUAUAAUAAGAAUCUCCUGAUAAAAUAGCAAGACCACUAUGAUGUCAAGUAUAUCCUACAAAAAGGCCAGGAAAACAGAAGAUGUGCAGUCAGUGUAAAUAUAUGAACAUGCUGUUGUCAUUGUGCAGACUGUGAUAAUUGCAGUAAAGAUUUUUUUUCUUCAUAGCAUGCUGUUGAUAUUUUCAUUGUAGUUUAUAGUGGUAUUUUAUCUUUGAUGUUCUUUUUUAGACUGUACACCAAAAACCAGUUGAUGUUGAAGAUUUUUAUGCUUAUUUUUAAUAAUAAAUAUUAAAAACUCAAUACUUUUUGUGAUUGUUUUCCUGUUAAGAACUCAUUGUUAAAUAUAACAAAACUCAUAAAAUUAAAAUUAAUAAUUAUUAAUAGAAACACUCUAAAAAUUAGGGCCAGAGAUUUUGUGCAGAGGCACAAACACCUACCUGGUAAGUGCGAGGUCAUGAGUUCAAUCCCUGGUACAUCCCCUCCCCCAAGUAGGUCAGACCACUUGCCUAGCAUGCCUGAGGCCCUGGGUUUAAUUCUCAGAACCAUCAAAAAAAAAAAAAAAUCUAAAGAAUAAAGGUAAGACCCAUGAUGUUUAUGCCCAAAUUUAGUUUUACACUCCAAAGCCUGUAACCAUAACAUACUUGAAUCUAUCCCCAGGAUUUUUCAUAUAUUUUGCUGUCAAGGAAACCAUUACGCAUCUUUGUGGGGGUUUUUUUUUUUCAUUUGUUUGCUUUUUUGAGACAGGGUCUUACUUUGUAGUGCAGGUUGGCCUUGAACUCACUGUGUACCCCAAGCUGGUCUUGAACUUGCAGUGAUCCUCAUCCCUUAGCUUCCCAAGCUGGGAUUACAGGUGUGCAUCACCGUGCCUGGCCCAUUUUAUAACUUUGAUUUUGAAAGUUUUGACCUAAAUGUAAAACUGUUCAGUGUACUGUCUAGUCUGUCAAGGUGACCUGUGUCGUCUUCUAGCCUUCUCAUUUGAGCUAUCAUAGGUUAUUGGCGUCCAUUAAGACCUUAUCUAUGCACUGAUGAAGAGUGACCAAACAUUGGCCAUUAUGGGACUCUUCUUUGGGCUCCAGUAGGGAGCCAUCGCUCCAUCUGUCCUGUUUUAGAAAUGUCGCAUUCACAUUAAUGAGAAAGGAAUAACCUGAAAAUCUUACUGCAGUGCAGGAUUUGAUUCAGUAGGACUGGUGUUGGACAAGAUUCUGUAUUUCUAAUGAGUCCCUAGGCCAUGCUGAUUCCGCCAGGCCAUGGACCACCCUAAAUCUUUCUGGACUAAGACCAGGGCAAGUCCAGCAGAAGCUCUGGAUACAGCUUACAAGAAGGCACUGACUCUUGAGUUUGUGCACAGACCAGCUCACCUCAUUCUAAUCCCAGCCCUGUUACUGUGCCUUAUAGCAGUAAUCAGGAAGGGCUGUGGUUGUAGCUCAGUGGUAGAGCUCCCAUACCUUUGAUCCCCAGUCCCAUAAAAAAGGAAAAGAGAACUUUUUCCUAAAGAUUGAGAGUUUUGAUAAGGAGGGUUUGCAGAAGUUCUUGGGUGCACAUCAGCACAGAGGGAAGGAGCCAGCCUACUGACCAGAGGGUUCCUAGGCUGGGGAGCUGCCAUGCUCUGCAGCUACUGUACAUGGCUGAAUAGACAGUAAAUCUCCAUGGCCCAAAUAAAGAUAUCAAGAUCCCCAGUGAUUAAUAUCUUCGUCUUAAUUCCCUGUCAACUCACUUCUCCGUUUUGUCCCCCCCCCCCAUAUCACUACAGUACUUAAUUAGUGUCUUGUGUAUCUUUUCAGUUUUGGGGAGGUUUUUUGUACUGAGCAUGGAACUCAUAACCUCGUGCUUGCCAGGCAAGCACAUAUGCCAUUGAGCUAAAUCCCCAGCCCUCUUUCCAGUUAUUUUUAUGCGUAUAUCAGAAAAUAUAAAGAUUGUAUAAUUAUCUCAAUGUCACUGUUUAAAAAUAAUGUUAACAAUCUAUGGAUGUUGUUCUGCACUUCAACUUUUUUUUAUUCAACAAUUAGUCUUCUACAUGUCCACGUAAAAAACUGAAUUUUCUUUCAGCAGCUUCAUAAUGUCUUAUUAAAUGAAUAUACUAUGAUUUAGCUACUUAUUUAUGAACUUUGGAUUGUUUCCAGAUUCUUACGUUAUAGUCCUACAAAGAGUAUAUUCACUUUUAUAUCUUAUGUAUGUUAUAUAUUUUAUUGUGUUUAUUCACAUUAUUCAAUAUUCAAUGCCAUAUUUUUAUGUAUUUAUAUUAACACUAAACAGACCACACACACACACACACACACACACACACAGGGUGAUCCCUCAUUAUCCCUGGAUGAUAAUAUUUCCAGGACCACACUCAGAUACCAAAUCCAUGCAUGUUCCAACACCUCAUAUGAAACAGCAUAAUAUUGGCGUAUAACCUGGCUGUAGAUGACUUAUGAUACCUAAUACCAUGUAAAUGCUAUGUAAAGAUUAAAUAUAGUAAACUGCUUUAUUUUUUGGAGAAUGACAAGGAAAAAGGAGCUAUACACGUUUAGUUACAGAAACCAUUUUAUUCCCAACUUUGUUUUAUUUAUAUCUAUGUUGGUGGUACUGAGGAUUGAACCGAGAUUCUUCCCACUGAGCUACAUCCCCGUGUCAUUGUUUUUCUUUUUCUUAAAUUUUAUUUUAAAGAGGGUAAAAUUAAACACAACAAAACAGAACAUAAGAAAACAAUGUAAGAGAUACAGAUUUCAAAACCAGACAACCAGAGAUCUUCACUAUCCAUCAUAAUAUCUCCUGUUUUCUUCCAGUUAGUUCUCUUUAUCUUCACAUAUAGUGAAUUCAUACAAAACAACAUAGUAUAAAACUGAUCGGAACAGAAUGAUGAAGGCAUUUAGGUCUUCAAGACCAGACAAUAAGGAAGUCAACAAUGGCUGUCAUAGUGUCUCUCAUUCUCUUCAAAAUAGCUGUCCAUACCUUCACGUAUGUUGAAAUUAAUCAAAACAAAACAGACUAAAAUUACUCUGAACAAAGAAUAAUAGUAUCACUGGAUUUCACAUCAUGAUGCUACGGAAUCAGCACUGGGUAGCUUAGUGUCUCUUUUUCUUCAAAGUAGUUGUUCAUUUCAUUGUGCAUUAUAUAAUCAGUUCUCAAAUUAUUUAGAAGUUCAGUGCAUGCAUGAGUCUCUACAUGUAUGUUUAUCUUUUCUAUAUUAGAGGGAAAAGCAAAACAAGGCAAAACAAAACAAUUCCUAGAAAAACACUAAACGGGGGGCUGGAGAUUUAGCUCAGCAGCAUAAGUGCCUGCCUUGCAAGCAGGCAGUCGUGAGUUCGAUCCCCGGUACCGAUAAAAAGGAAAAAGACAAAAAAAAAAAAAAGAAAGAAAGAAAAGAAAAACACUAAACGAAAAAGUCAUAAAAUCACAAUACAAGGUGAUCUACAAGAGUUACUAUGAUGCCUUUUGUUAUCUUCAAUAGAUUGUCUAUAUCAUCAGGCAUAGUAUAAUUGAACAUAUUAUAUAACAGUAUUAAUAAAAACAACAUUGGAGACAUUAUAAGAGUUGGAAAGCAGGUAAUAGUCAAGUCAGAGUGGGUAUCCUGGUGAAUCUUGUCUUCAGAGUAUUUACCUAUACUCUCAGACAAUACUAGCAAUCAUAACAGAUUCAAAUAAAAUCAUUCAAGACAAAACAGCGAUCUAAUAAACCAGAUUCAAAUAAGAUCAGUCAUAAUAAGAUAGUGUAAAUAAUACAGGGCUUCAGAUUAAGUUAAUAGGAAAUUCAGGAUGGUUAUCACAAUAAAACUAACUGUUUUUGGAACAGCUGUCUGUGCCCUCAAGUCUAGUACAAGUAGACAGACUGGAAAAGAAUAUAACCAAGGGGCUGGAGGUUUAGCUCAGCGGCAUAAGCACCUGCCUUGCAAGCAGGUGGUCGUGAGUUCGAUCCCCGGUACAGAUAAAAAUGAAAAAGACCAAAAAAAAAAAAAAAACAAAAAGAAUAUAACCAAACUAGGGGCUGGGGAUUUAGCUCAGCAGCAUAAGCGCCUGCUUUGCAAGAGGCAGUCGUGAGUUCGAUCCCUGGUACCAAUAAAAGAGUAUAACCAAACUAAACAGAGCGAUAACAACAAUGUGGAUUUUAAAUCCUGAUACACUAUUAACAGUGUCAUCUGCCUGCCUUUUUUAGACAAUUCUUCCCCUUUCACUUUCACAAGGUGCAUUGUAUAUUUUGGGUCCCACCAACUCUUUAGUUUUUAGGUUAGGGGUGCAACCCACCAUUUACCUAAGUGGUUCUAAACCUUUUUACCCCUGGGCUUGACAUUAAGUUGUAUUCCUUUACCUACAAAAGCCUCAAGGUUUUCCUUCAUUAUAGCUGAGUAGUUCUCCACUGCACAAAAGUGUCAUGUCUUUCCACCCUAUCUGCAGGUGCUGGAUGAGCUGCCCCUAUUUCUCUCUGGUUCCCUGUCACACAGAGCAUUAUUGUCUCAUAUUUGACUUUCAGUCCAUAAACCCUCUUUCAGGUUAAUUAUAUUUCCUAUAAAGAGCAUCUCAAUGGGCCCUAUCUCCUCAUCUACUCUACCUGUGUUUCUUUUUGUUAGUGCAUGAAGACAUGUAUGUUAGAGAUUAUAGCCAACCUUCUCUGCCUCAUUUCUGCUACGCUGUUUUUCUGCCAUUGGUUGUCUACUUUUCACCUUCAUUCCACUGUCUGCCCCAUUCAGAUCCUGAUGCUUUUUUUUUCCCUUUCUAGAAUGUCCUUCAGUAGUUUUUGUAGGGUUGAAUUGGUGGUUAUGAACUCCACUCAUUCCUCUUUGUCAUAGAAGCAUCUUGUUUCUGCAUUAAUUUUGAGAGAGAGUUUUUCAGGGUACAUCAAUCUAGGUUGGAGGUUAUUUUCUUUCAGGGCUUGGAAUACUUUGCUCCAAGCUCUUCUUGAUUUGAUGGUUUGUGUAGAGAAGUCUGUCAUGAUUUUGAUGGGUUUUCCUUUAUAGGGAUCCAUUUCUUUUCUCUGAUGGCUUUUAAUAUUCUUGUGAUGAAUUUCUGGGAUCUUGAUUAUUAUAUGUCUGGGUGUAGCUCUGUUUUGGUUGUAAGUGGCUGGAGUUCUGUAUGCCUCAUUCUGAAUAUCAUCUGCUUUUCCUAUGCUUGAGUACUUUUCCUUAAUUAUUUCUGUGAAUAGCCUUUCUGUUUCCUUUGUGUUUACCCCUGCUUCUUCACUCACAUUUUUUAUUCUUAAGUUAUAGAUCCUCUUGUCAUCCUCUAGCCUUUGUAUUGUUACUGCCUGUUUUCUUGUUAUUUUUAAGAGAUCUUUCCUUUCACAUUCACACAUUGCAAACCCAUCAAGUUUUGUUAAUCUUUCUCUAGUUUCUUUCAGGCAAUUUUGCCAGCUUUCAAUGGAGUUUUUAAUUUCCUGGUAAUCUUUUGUUGUUAUUGUUGUGGUUGUUGUUGUCUUUUUGAGACAGAGUCUCUAUGCAGUUCAGGCUGGCCUUGAGCUCACUUUGUAGCCUAGGCUGGUCUUGAACUCGCAACAAUCCUCCUGCCUCAGCCUCCCAAAUACUGGGAUUAUAGGCAUGAGCCACCACACCUGGCUUCCUGGUAAUCGCUUUGAAUCUGUUUCAUGUAUUCUAGGGUUUUUUUUUUUUAAUAUUCUUCAUCGAAGGUUUCUCUCCUUUUUUUGUGUUCCUCCAUCUUCCAUCUGUGUCUUUCUUAGAGUGCUUAGCAUUUCUUUUAUUAAUUUUCUUAUAUCUUGCUUUAUUUCAAUUAAUAUUUCAGUUUUGAGUUUGUCUGUGAUGUCAUGAAGAUAUUUCUUUAUGUCAGCUGAUGCUGUGUCCAAUGUUGAAUGUUUGUUGCCCUCGAUCUCUUCUGUAUUUACCUUUCCUGGACCCAUCUUCCCUGGGUUGGCUGGAGGCUUUUUCUUGUUUCUUUGUCUUGUCAUGUUUCUUGUUUCUUCCAUACUUUGGCUAGGGGUUGUUGCUGUCUCCACUUUGCUGUUGGUCACUGAGGUGCAAGCAGGGGCAGUGUAGGGUGGCCCCUCCCCUCUGAGCCAGUCAACCAGUGGGGCCCUUCACCACAUUAGUAUAUGCCACAUGGACAGAACUGGUUAGGGACAACUUUGAGAACAAUUUGGUCCCUGGCUAUUGGAUCCCGGCCGGGGGCAUGACCCACCCCAAUCAGAUCCCACCAAUCUGCUCUGGGCAGGGAGCAGCCAACUGAAGUCACUGCCAUUCCUUAUUCAGGCCGGUCUUCCCAAUACCAAUAUGUCCUCUGGUCAGUCACCCCCCUCGCACAGGGUGGGGGGCAAAUUCCGAGCACUCACUGCAGGUUGGUGCAGGUCUCCACACCGCCUCUGUUCUCUGUUGGGCUCACCAACCCCGACUUCAGUGCAACUGCGGCACUCUGGCUCUGAUGAGAGUACUGCGACCGUGAGUCUGACCGGCUCCAAUGACAACACUGUGACUGCGUGUUGGGCUGGCUCCGGUGAGAGCGCAUCUGGCUCCAGACUCCUGUCCAUGUUUUUCUUUUCCUUUCCUUUCCCUUUCCCUUUCCCUUUCCUUUCCUCUCUCUCUCUCUCUUUCUUUCUCUCUCUCUUUCUUUCUUCCUUCCUUCCUUCCUUCCUUCCUUCCUUCCUUUCUUUUGUUCAUUCUUUCUUUCUUUUUUUUCCUUUUUCCUAGUUUCUUCCUGGGUCCUGAGAAUCCCUCUCCUUUUGUCUGGUCUUCUCUCUGCUGGUAACUUCUGGUGUCUGAGCUGUUUCUCUCAGAGAGGUUCUGUACCUUGUUACUUACUGAUCCACCAUCUUCCUCCGACCCUUUUCUUUCUUUCUUUCUUUCUUUUUUUUUUUUUUGUUAUUUUUUUAGACAGGAUCUGGCUAAGUUUCCCAGGCUAGGUUCAAACUUGCAGUUCUCCUGCCUCAGCCUUCUACAGUGCAGGGAUUAUAGACACGUGCUACCACACUUAACUUUUCUGAAUAUUUCUGAUGAUGGUUGUUGGAAUCCAAGGAUGCAAAACCUGUGAAUAUGACGGUUAGCUGUGUGUGUGUGCACAAUAUUUUCCUAUUAUCUUGGAGUAAUGUGUUCCUUUGUUAAGAAUCGUCCUCUUAUUUUUUAAAAGGAAGGCAGUAAUUACUGUCUGUGUAAACCUGAUGCUUCCACUAAUUCAGAGUUGUUAGUUUAAAUCAAAGGGGAACAUGACUGUUGGGAAACAAAGUAGGGCCCAUCAGAUAGAUUGCCAUUUUACAGUGUGUCUCCUUGUGAGCAGCCCUAGGGGAUCGUGUCCCGGGCAUUUACAUUCUGUCCCCUUACAUGUUACCUACGUUCACUGGAGAAAACCUAAAUCCAUUAAUGUUUGUGUCUGGCAUGUCAUCAAUGAGAAAUGAAAUGAGUCACAAGCUCAAGUUUAGCCUGCAUCGACUCCAGCUAUCUAGCUUGAAUAGCACUUCCAUUAUUUACAGAUAGGUCAGAUUAAUCUAUCCAGAAGGGAUAGUUAAAGAGGCUAUUUUUCUCUGAUGCAGCGUUUUAAAGCUACAAUCAGGUAUUGCUAUUAAUGAAACCACCAAACAAAAAGAAUGAUUUCCCUCCCAAAGAGUAUUAUAGUGUUGUCAGGAGUCUUGCAAUUGGAUUACCUUCUUGUAAUCAAUCCCACCUUAUCAGUCAACGUUGCUUGUAAUGGACUGAUGCCUACAACAGACUGGGUUAUUUAAAACUUCUUUCAGUCUGGAAGAGACAUGUUCUUUGGCAUUUUCACCUUCCUAUGGUGGGAAGCAUCCGUAUCCAAUAGAGCACUACUGAAGCUAUGGUGGUGUUGGUCUUAUUUGUGCCAGGAAGUCUUGUGGAGUUAACACUGAGAGAGAAGAUGUGUGAUGUAUUUAGUUAGUUACUUUGCAGCCAGUGCCCUGAGCUUGCUUAACCAGGUUGGAUCUGUUUGUUUCUGAGUCCUUAGUUCAGUUCUUACUCUUCCGUUUUGCACGUGCGUAUCUUAAUCUUUUUUUUUCUUUCUUUCUUUUUUAUUGGUACCGGGGAUCGAACUCACGACUGCCUGCUUUCAAGGCAGGCGCUUAUGCCGCUGAGCUAAAUCCCCAGCCCCAACACGUGCGUAUCUUAAUGGAUCACCAAGGGAAGAAUUGGGUAGGGAAAUGCAGCUUGCCAUGAUUUUUGCUCUAACUUGAUGUAUAAUAUUUUGAGAAGCUACUGAAGACCUUUGUGAUCAGGAAAAAAAAAAAAAAAAAAAACAUUUUAGGAAGCCAGACACAGUGACCCCUGCUUCUGACCACUGCUACUCUGAGGCUGAGGCAAUAGGAUUACAAAUUCAAUCUCAACACUUAGCCAGACCCUGUCUCAAAAUUACAGUGCUGGAGAUUGGAGAUGUAUCUCAGUUGUAGACAUGUGCUAGGCCUUGGGAUUAAGCACUAAUAAUGAAAGAAAA